CCCCCAUAGAAGUACUGUGAGGAUGAAGUUUCAGUAGCUUCAGGGUAACUCUGCUUCAGGCUGUGAACAUGACCAGGAAGAUUUCAGGAAGUGUAUCCAGCUGAAGGAAGAGCUGAAGGAGCAAUGACUGCCACAGGGGAUCCCUGUCUGGGCUGCUGUCUUAGAAUGGUUUGACACCUGUGUCUCUGGUAUUGUCCCUCAGAGUCAGUCAGAUGGGCAAACUCUCGUUCAAUACCCUUAUUCCUUCAGUGGGUUAUAAAACCCUUCUACAAUCUGAUGAGAGCCUUCCCAAUGCCUGCCUCCAGCUAAAGUACCUGCAAUCCCAUAAAAUUUUGCAUGCAGCUUUUAGGGAGUUUGGGGACCCCUGAAGGACAAGGAUCUAUGGUGUCUGUCCACACUUUCUCUCAGAGUGAAAAAGAAAUUCAUGGCAACAGCAUCUCUUCAAGUGUCUCCUGCCUGUCCCCUCCCCUCUCAAUGUCAAACCUAUUUCCUGCUAUUGAUCAUAAUACAGUUUUAAAUCCCCACUCUGUCCCUUCAGAGCUUGGGCUCCAGCACUCACCCACUGGGAACCAAGGGAAGGAAGAAAGCAUUCAGUUGAGAAGAGGAAAAGGAGGAGUUAAAGGCGUCUAGUCUCUGUGGUUUUCACUGUGGAGUAGUGGUUAAGAGCUAUGGCUGCUAACUAAAAGGUUGGCAGUUGGAAUCCACCAGCAGUCCUUGGAAGCCCUGUGGGGCAGUCCUACUCUGUCUUUUAUGGUCGCUAUGAGCUGGAAUCGAUGGCAUGGUUUUUUAAAGUUUUUACUGGCAGUUUGAUUAGAAAUUAUGACCGGUAUUUCUUGAUUCUUUAGGAUAUCCAGUGCCCUGCUGGGUCUUAGGUUAUCUUGGUGCUUAUUUUUUAAAUGCUGUGCUGUGGUAAUUUCAAACAGACGUGAAAGUAGAGAGAAGAAUACAAUGAAUCUCCGUGCACUCUUCACUCACCUGACAAUCUUGGUUUAUCUAUAUUCUCAACCAUCACCCACACAGAAUUAUGUUGCAGCAAAUCUCAGACAGUAUAUUAUUUCAUCUGUUAGUUAUUUUUUAAAAAGAUGCCAGCAUUUAGUUUCUUUGAGAGAAAUUGCAAGAGAGGCAGAUGGGGAGAAUGCUGAAACUGACAAAAGAUAUUUUCAAAUACAAUUAAAAUACGUAUUUGUGAGAACUCUAUGUGUGUGUGUAUAUGUAUAUAGGUAUAUACAUAUAUAUGGAAACCCUGACGGCAUAGUGGUUAGGAGCUCCAGCUGCUAACCAAAAGGUCGACAGUUUGAAUCCACCACGUGCUCCUUGGAAACUCUAUUAGGCAGUUCAACUCUUUUCUACAGGGUUGCUAUGAGUCGGAAUCAACUCGAUGGCAAUAGGUUUGGGUUUUUUUGGGUUAUAUAUAUACUGAAUGAUCAGUAUCUCUUAACCAAACCCAAAACUGAACCCAUUGUUGUCAAGUCCUGUAGUAUGACAGAUGGCUUUUGGGUGGCCUUUCUCACCAUGGUCUUGGAACCCCCACCCAAGUGCAAAUAGGGUAAUCAUGGCCAAUGAGAUUGGUCAGUUUUGCCAUCCUACUGGGCUUCAAAUGAGCCAUCCCAGAGGCAGAAAAAAGAGGAUCUCACCAACACCAAGGAAGAAGGGCCAAGAGCAGAGUGCAUCCUUUGGACCCGGGAUCCUUGUGCUGAGAAGCUCCUGGAAUCAGAAGACAGAGGAGAGGAAGCUAUAACAUGGAAGAUGUUGAGAAGUGGUGGCAGAGAAAUGGUGACAGGGGAGAGGGGCAGGAGACGGCGCAUUGGGCUUCUCUGCCCAAGAUAGCAAGAAAGAUGAGUGCCAUUGGCCAGGAGACUAGCUGGAAGAGUAGGGAGCCUCCAGGUACUUGGUGGAGCUAGGUUUGCUAAGCCACGGAGCUAGGACUGAGCACCUUUGGGCCAAGGUUUACUGGCAGUGUGGGGUGCCUCUGGGCACUUACUAUACUAAAGAGGUUUGAACACUUGCCCAAGAAGGGCAGUAGGCCAAGGGCCAGAGAGCGGUGCCUGUGAGCACAGCCGAGAUGGAAGAACUGUAUCCUGAGCAUUCCGGAACCUGAAUUGUAACCUGUUAUGUCCCUAAUGAACCCCAUAAUCAUGAGUAUUAUCUGUGAGUUUUGUGGCUGUUGCAAUGAAUUAUUGGACACAGCAGAGAAGCAAAGAGUGCCGUGGAAGGGAUUGCUAGGGUCAGAAUUUGUAAAGAUGGCAGAGAAGGAAGGCAUGUCUAACCUCUGCCUCAAAGGAACCAGAUUUGGGCUGUUGAUCCUGAUUCUCCUUCCCCUUUGUGAAGUUAGAGGAAGUCAGACACACCAGGUGUACAAGUCCAUCCUAACAUGAGCAGACUCUGUGUGUUACACAGUAGGACUGCUCCCUAGGGUUUUCUUGGCUGUGAUCGUUUAUGGAAUCAGAUCCCCAGGGCUUUCUUCCUAGGCACCUCUGGAUGGAUUCGAUGAACCAACCUUUAGGUUAGCAGUUGAGCACAAACUGCUUGUAGCACCUAGGGACCUUCAGCACCUCUUAGACACUUAAUAAAAGAAAGCUCAAAGCUGAGAAGCCAACAGGAACCAUAUCCUCUCUAAAAUUUCUUUUGGCUUGUUUUCAGGGCGGUAUUUGGUAUCUCUGAAUUGGGACACUGGACAUUUCUAUACCCCCAUUGCAUAGGGACUCCUGAGUUUAAAAGAAAAAAAAAAAUUGUCACUCCUGUUAAUUUGUACUUGUGAGGCCCCAACCCACCUUAUGGGCCCUCCCUUUGGACUGGGUAGAAUAAAGAAAAAACCGGAGCAAGAAAAUGACACCCAGAUCUUUGCCUUCAGGAAAUUUUCUCUAGAACAGACAGACCAAAAGCAAUAGAGCAACAUAUGGGAGCAGGUCCAUCAGGGAGGGUUUGAUCUUGCGUUUGCAUUCUCACCUUUCCCCUUUGCCAUCCAUAAACCAAAUAAACAAACCCAUUGCCACAGAGUCGAUUCUGACUCAUAGCGAGCAUGUAGCUCAGAGUAGAACUUCCCCAUAGGGUUUCCAAGGAACUGCUGGUAGAUUUGAAUUGCUGACCUUUUGGUUAGCAGCCAAGCUCUUAAGCACUGUGCCAGCAGGGCUCCUAGCCAGGCCCAAACUUCAGCAUGAUGGAUACUACACAAUGGCAGGGUGCAAGGUUUCAUCCCCUCUGUACAGCCUCCUGGAGAAUGCUCAUGAGGUGUUCUGAGAACGUCCCUAAAAAGUGGUCUACUCACACCAAUUACCCUGGUUAUCCCACAGAAGAUGAUUUAUUAUAAUAGACUUAAUAUAUUAGAGAAAGGUGCAAAGUGUUUCUAUUCAUUGGAAUAUUAUUUAAAUAGUGGAAGUUUCACUUAACAUGUAACAAAUGGGUGGUGGCACUGACAACCACACUCUCUCACUUUUGUUCCAAGCCUUUUUAAGACAGAUUCUCACUUCUGCAUUAGGCCAGUCUUCCCGUGAAGCAAUUUUAGUCUAACAGCUUCCGUACUGGGGGGUGGGUGGUUGCUUUUUAUUUUCUUUUUCAGAGACAUGGAGUAUCUUUCUUCUUAACUGAUUUUCCAGACUUCAGGGUUUCUUUAGGGGGAAGCUGCUUAAGGAGGGUUCUGGGUGGACAAGCCCUUGAGGAUUUGCUUAGGUGUCCCCAGACACUGUGUGCUGACUGCCUCCCGAAGGUCCUAAAAAGGCCUCUUAUGCUGCCGUGUAAGUAUAGAUGCUGACAGAUCCUCCCAGCCCCGUCACACAGCUUUCACAUGAAAUUUGGGGUCAGAGAGGUCUCUUAGUGUUUCUUGAGGGAACUCAUGUUUGGCUUUAUUUCCUCUGAUUUCUAUAUUUGGAUUUGGACAAGUUUCCUCUGCAAUUUACUCUCUGGAAGGGUAUACACUGAAAACCCAGGUCAUUUUCAGCUUCUGAAUGGCAUUGAAAAGUCCGGUUUUCUAGUUGCCUAUGGUGGGCACAGGGGGGUUGGCUACCCAGAAGGAUUUGAGGUAUUUUUAGGAGAAUCUUCCUCUUCCAGUAGGGCAGGAGUAAAGUCUAUAAGGAGUCCAACAGUCUAUGGACAUCUCUGGGAUGGAGGGAGUAGAGCUUCGAUUUUUUUUUUGGUUGUGAGUCUUGAGGGGAGUGUUUCAGACCCUGGCUUUGCCAGUGGAUGUGUUCACUGAGCAAGUAAUUUCUACUUCUUACAAUAAAGUCAAGGGGAAUGGAACCAUCUUGCAACCAACUAAACACAGAUGAGAAGAUGAGAAUGAGAAUUUCUGGAGAAAUCCUUGUUUGUAGGCUUCUCUUAAACUUUGUGCUUAAGAUUGUAUAGCAGUAUCUUCUUGAAACAAAUUCCGAGUGAGAAAGUCGUUGAGAGGGCAUUUAGCAAGUUGUCACAGGACAAAUACUGAAAAAUUACUGCUUGACCAGUACAUGAAAGGCCUGGCCCUCUGCCAGAGGCCCCACAAGCACUGCUGUAGCCUAAGUUGGCAAGAACAGUCAGAUGGAACUGCCAUAUACUGUCUCUGGUGGAAAUUAUACCACAGGGAGAGCAAGCCAGGCAGCCUCUUUCUAUGAUUUGGAAAAUUGUUACUAUUAAGCCUGGAGCUUUGAUCGUUACAAGAGGUUCAUGGUGCCUACAGAGCCACUCAUCUCUGUCUCCCAGGUAACUAUGACCUACUCUCUGAGCAGCUGACAUUCCUACCCUGUUUGGUUCUUGUCUCUUCUUGAGACUGUACACAGGCAACAGGUGCAGCAGGUCUCCCCACAGCUGCUGAAAGGAACCCUGGUGACAUCUGCCCUCUUGGCACCAGGAUUCUGCCCUUCCUGGAGUGGGGAGGCUUCCAAGGACCCAUGUGACUUUACGAAUAUCUACAACUCAGUAAUGGUGCUGUGGUCUUCCAGGCUAAAUGGUCCCUUCCUGGCCUCCUCAGGGGUGCUGGAGAGAGUUAUUUUCAACAACCAGUUCAUUCAAGAGAAGUGCUUACUGGCUCACCCAUCUGUAUUCCUAAAGCAAGAGUGGUGGGUGAGGUGGGCUGGGGUUGCACCCGGGUCCUGUGUUGCAGCUAAUUGCGUUUGUCACCGAUGUCCACACAGGGAAUCACUAAGAACUUAGGAUGAAAAGUAUGAAUACUUGUGUACGAGCUACAGUUUUGAGCCUUAACCCUAGUUCACACAGAAGAAAGCUCCACUGCCCCUUCUUCAGGAACUGUUUAUGCAGAUGUUUCGCUGGACUUCUCAACAGUUCUAAAUUGCAGGUGGUCUGAAGCCCUACACUCCUCAGUUGGCCUGUCCUCACCCGUACUUGCCGUGACAUUUCUUUAGAGGGGUUUUUCAGAGGGAGAAGUCAGAAAGCUCCACAGAACGGGACAGGCUGAUAGUCCCACAGCCCAUGAUGCAUGCAAAGUUACUGAGGCAGAAGAGUGUAAAUGUUGUAUUGGCCAAGACUCGCUUGAACUGAGUUGCCAUAUUACCUCUUCACUUGUUCGCAAAGCAGCCUUGACUUGUCUUGCUGAGAAUUCGAUGGACACAGAUCCUGAUGAGCAAGGAGCUUCAAUCAAAUGCACUCUUUUCACAUUUUGUUGAAAUAAACCUCCACAUUUGGAGAAGAGUCACCGUUUGUCAUGUCAGCCCAUGCCCAGCCACCUCCUCGAUGCCACUUUUGACAAGGGGGUGGGGGAUGCAGUGGUGGAGGGAGCCCCGCCAUGCCCCUGCAACAUGUUCCUAUGCUUUGUCUCUUGAACUUACCUAAGAAUGAGUGGGGGAAAGUGGUAAAAAGCUGGCCCUGGCCAGCCCUAACCUACUGGUUGAAUCAAGGUAAAGAUGCUGCAAGGCUGUCAGUACUCUGGAACUCCUCAGCUGGAAGUUAACCCUUCUGUGUCAUUUUUUCUGAGAGUGGGUUUAGGGCAGAGGUGAAAAAGGCCACAAGGAAGAAGGAACUUGGCCCACUGGGAGCAUGUGCUGAGCAGGAAAACUUCCUGAAAGAAAGCCUUGGAAGCCCAAGUCCAUUCUCUCAGAAGUCUCCUUCCCAGCAGGCAAGUUGAGAAGGCUCUAAUAUACUUAGUAAUUAACACUGGGACCAAAUGGAAGAUAUUGGAGAUUUUAUGGAAAGGCUUUAGAUUCUCCUCACCAUGAACUAGCUACUUAAUGCUUCUUGAAAUCUAACUUUGGGCACAGGAAGGCACGAGGGGAAGAGACUUACAGGAUUGUGUGCCUUUAACCCUCUACCUCAGGUUCUCUGAAAAGGAUCUCUCUAUGAACCCACAUGGCUGAAGCAGGAACAAACACCAAUGUCUAAACAUCUACAAAGAAAGGUGCAGGACACAAGGAAGUACUAGGGGAUUACUGGCUUUUGCUGAUUGUUGACACUCAGUGCUACGUGUCUAUCUCCCUUGUUGGAAUAUGUGGUAAAGGAUGGCUUUUUCUAAAAUGAAAUAAAAUGUUAGGUUCUUAAAAAGAAAACAUUAGUGCCUGAUUCAAAGACAGUUAUGGUUCCAGGACGAUCGUGUCUCCCAGAUGGCAAUAGUGAGGUGGGCCAGGGACUUUUCUCAAGGACCAAAGAGAAAAGCAUCAGGGAGAUAAGCACCGGGAGGUUAUCUCACAAUUAAGUACAGUGAAGAGCCUGGUGUGGAUGGAUCACAAAUGUCUCUUCCUAUUCAGAUUCCAGUGCUCAGUACCCGGUACAGAAUGUGGCCAAAACUCACCAAUCAAUCAAUUAUCUAAGCAAAAAGGGGCAGGUAUAAGUGAACAGGGAAAACUCUGUGAUUUCUCUCUUGACAUAAAUUUAAAAAUUGUUGAUAUAUGCUUACCUUGCAAACAGAUAGGAAGGUAGGUGGAUCAAUGAUUGGGUGAAUGGAUGGAUGGACAGGCAUGAAUUUUUUGUGUGUGUUUCUCUCUACCUCUGUCUAUGUCUGUCCUCCACCUCUGUCUAUAACUGCCAUUGUUUCCUCAUAAUCAUACCUCUACUUACAAAAGUAACAUCUUUUAUCUCAUUUUAGAGAAUCUUGCCUACAAAUUGUAUUACUGGUCACACAACAAAGAAAAAAAAAAAAGAAAUCUGUGAAAACCAGGAUAGGGGAAUCAAACACUUCUGACUUGGAGCAGAGGGAAGAUGCAUGGAGCUGAGGUCUCCAGGGGAGAGCAGGGCUGUGUUUCACUUGCCGAGUUGAGCCUGCUGAAAGCAAACAGAGUGUGGGAAGAGUGCCCAGACAUUGUGCCCUGGUGGAUUUGAAGGGAGCGCUAUUUCUCCAGAUCCCUCUCUGUGUGUCCUUCGAUCUUUGUUCUCUAGGUCCCAGUUGUUGUUAUGAAAAGGAUUAGAGAAUUUCCAGAGUCUUUUCAUCAAUCUCUUUUCAUUUGUCUUUCUGCCUUUUCAAAAACACAACCAGGGAUACAAGCUGGUAGUUUCACUACAAACGAAAUUGUAGAUAAUUCUUUUGAAACGUGCUACAAUAGUUGAAAUUUCUGUUAAUGCCUGAGCUACAUUUUUGGUCCAUCAAAGUCAG